rnacentral:lncRNA from 1 species
GUAACACUUGUUAAUUGUUGGUACCCAUGAUUUAUAGACCAUGAAUGACUUCUUUGCUGCAAGCAAGGCAUAUAGAGACGUUCAUCCCCUCCUAACCCAGUUAAGGCAUGCAUUGCAAAACGAGUAUAGUAUGCCAUUAGGUGUUAAUUUUCAGUCAAAUAGAGUACCCACCAACUAAAAUGAGUGAGUUCAUUAUCCUCAUCUCGACUCCUAGCUCACUAUCGACCACAUUGUCCAAGCCAAGUGUUAAUUGAGGGGACUGAGUUGCGAGAGUACUCUCAGUAAUCCCUACAUGACUUCUCUACUGGCCAUUUGCAUUAUUUUCAAUAAUGUUUUGCUAAUUGUAGUCUUUUGAAGAUUUGUAGCGCACAAAAAAAUCUUAAAUACAUUUCGAAAACAAUUUAAAUGGUUAACGGAGAAUUAGUUUAAAGACUACCGAGGUACUCUCAGCGCAUUCCCACAAUUAAUACUUAGCUAACAGUGUGGUCUAAGAACUCUCUAAUUGUUUUUUAGUACUCUGACUGAC